GAUGAACGCUGGCGGCGUGCUUAACACAUGCAAGUCGAACGAAGCACUUUAUUUGAUUUCCUUCGGGACUGAUUAUUUUGUGACUGAGUGGCGGACGGGUGAGUAACGCGUGGGUAACCUGCCUCAUACAGGGGGAUAACAGCUGGAAACGGCUGCUAAUACCGCAUAAGCGCACAGCAUUGCAUGAUGCAGUGUGAAAAACUCCGGUGGUAUGAGGUGGACCCGCGUUGGAUUAGCUGGUUGGUGAGGUAACGGCCCACCAAGGCGACGAUCCAUAGCCGACUUGAGAGGGUGACCGGCCACAUUGGGACUGAGACACGGCCCAAACUCCUACGGGAGGCAGCAGUGGGGAAUAUUGCACAAUGGGCGAAAGCCUGAUGCAGCGACGCCGCGUGAGCGAAGAAGUAUUUCGGUAUGUAAAGCUCUAUCAGCAGGGAAGAUAAUGACGGUACCUGACUAAGAA
rnacentral:rRNA from 1 species